CACUCCAACCUGGCAACAGAGUGAGACUCUGUCUCAAAAAAUAAUAAUAAUAAAAAAUAAAUAAAGGACCUAACAGAGUUUUAUGAGAAUCAAAGGAGGUAAUAUGUCUGAAGGUACACUAUAAACUACCAAGUGUAUGUAAAUGUAAUAUUGUUUGUUUUCUUACUUUAAAAACCUGAAUUUCAGGGAAAAUCUACCCAGUCAUUUCAAGUUCAAGGAGUAUUGUCCCCAGGUCUUCAGGAACCUCCGUGAUCGAUUUGGCAUUGAUGACCAAGAUUACUUGGUGUCCCUUACCCGAAACCCCCCCAGCGAAAGUGAAGGCAGUGAUGGUCGCUUCCUUAUCUCCUACGAUCGGACUCUGGUCAUCAAAGAA